GAUGAACGCUAGCUACAGGCUUAACACAUGCAAGUCGAGGGGCAGCGCAGUGUAGCAAUACACGGGCGGCGACCGGCGCACGGGUGCGUAACGCGUAUCCAACUUUCCCGUUACUCAGGGAUAGCCUUCCGAAAGGGAGAUUAAUACCUGAUGGUGUUUGAAAUUCGCAUGUUCUUCAAACUAAAGAUUUAUCGGUAACGGAUGAGGAUGCGUACGAUUAGCUUGUUGGCGGGGUAACGGCCCGCCAAGGCGACGAUCGUUAGGGGUUCUGAGAGGUUAACCCCCCACACUGGUACUGAGACACGGACCAGACUCCUACGGGAGGCAGCAGUGAGGAAUAUUGGUCAAUGGACGCAAGUCUGAACCAGCCAUGCCGCGUGCAGGAAGACGGCUCUAUGAGUUGUAAACUGCUUUUGUACAAGGGUAAACCUCGGUACGUGUACCGAGCUGAAAGUACUGUACGAAUAAGGAUCGGCUAACUCCGUG
rnacentral:rRNA from 1 species